UACGGAGGGGGCUAGCGUUGUUCGGAAUUACUGGGCGUAAAGCGCGCGUAGGCGGCUUUGUAAGUUAGAGGUGAAAGCCCAGGGCUUAACCCUGGAAUUGCCUUUAAGACUGCAUCGCUAGAAUCGUGGAGAGGUGAGUGGAAUUCCGAGUGUAGAGGUGAAAUGCGUAGAUAUCGGGAGGAACACCUGUGGCGAAAGCGGCGCACUGGACCACAACUGACGCUGAGGCGCGAAAGCUAGGGGAGCAAACAGG
rnacentral:rRNA from 1 species